rnacentral:rRNA from 1 species
AUUGAACGCUGGCGGCAGGCCUAACACAUGCAAGUCGAGCGGAUGAAGAGGGAUUGCUCUCGGUUUCCGUGGGCGACGGGCGGGUGAUUAACAGGUAUAUGCCUGGCCGCGGGGGCUAAAGUAAGGACGCGGGAGCUAGUACCAUACCAGUUCAGAGGUCGAACGGGGGGGAUCUUCGGAGCUUCCGCUAUUUGCUGAGCCUAGGACGGAUUAGCUAGUUGGUGGGGUAAAGGCGUACCAAGGCGACGAUCCGUAGCUGGUCUGAGAGGCUGAUCAGCCACACUGGAACUGAGACACGGUCCAGACUCCUACGGGAGGCAGCAGUGGGGAAUAUUGGACAAUGGGCGAAAGCCUGAUCCAGCCAUGCCGCGUGUGUGAAGAAGGUCUUCGGAUUGUAAAGCACUUUUAUUAGGGAAGAAGAGCAGUAAGUUAAUACCUGGCUGUUUUGACGGUACCAACAGAAUAAGCACCGGCUAACUUCGUG